rnacentral:misc_RNA from 1 species
GUUCUGUAGGUGAACCUGCGGAAGGAUCAUUAUCGAAUAUGCGUGAUAGGUUGUAGCUGGCUCUUCGGAGUAUGUGCACGCUUAUCUUGACUUAAUUCAUCCACCUGUGCACCUUUUGUAGUCUUGGGGGUUGAGAUCGGUCGACUAUCGGAUGGCCAAGGUCAUUCCGGAUGUGCGGAAUGCUGAGUGCGAAAGCAUACAGCUCUUCUCAAAUGACUUGUCUUCCUCGAGUACUAUGUAUUCAUAUACCACAUAGUAUGUUGUAGAAUGUGAUCAAUGGGUCUAUGUACCUAUAAUAAUCAUAAACAACUUUCAGCAACGGAUCUCUUGGCUCUC